rnacentral:lncRNA from 15 species
CCGGCUGUUCUUUACCGACUGUUCUUUACCGACUGUUAUUUACCGGCUCGACUGUUCUUUACCGGCUGUUCUUUACCGGCUGGGCUGUUCUUUACUGACUGUUAUUUACCGACUGUUAUUUACCGGCUGUUAUUUACCGGCUGUUCUUUACCGACUGUUCUUUACCGGCUGUUCUUUACCGGCUGUUCUUUACCGACUGUUAUUGACCGACUGUUCUUUACCGACUGUUAUUUACCGACUGUUAUUGACCGACUGUUCUUUACCGGCUGUUCUUUACCGGCUGUUCUUUACCGACUGUUAUUUACCUGCUGUUAUGUACCGGCUGUUCUUUACCGACUGUUAUUUACCGGCUGUUAUUUACCGACUGUUAUUGACCGGCUGUUCUUUACCGACUGUUCUUUACCGACUGUUAUUUACCGGCUCGACUGUUCUUUACCGGCUGUUCUUUACCGGCUGGGCUGUUCUUUACUGACUGUUAUUUACCGACUGUUAUUUACCGGCUGUUAUUUACCGACUGUUAUUGACCGACUGUUCUUUACCGGCUGUUCUUUACCGACUGUGCUUUACCGGCUGUUCUUUACCGACUGUUAUUUACCGGCUCGACUGUUCUUUACCGGCUGUUAUUUACCGACUGUUAUUGACCGACUGUUCUUUACCGACUGUUCUUUACCGACUGUUAUUGACCGACUGUUCUUUACCGACUGUUCUUUACCGACUGUUCUUUACCGGCUGGGCUGUUCUUUACCGACUGUUCUUUACCGGCUGUUAUUUACCGACUGUUAUUUACCUGCUGUUAUUUACCUGCUGUUAUGUACCGGCUGUUCUUUACCGGCUGUUCUUUACGACUGUUAUUUACCGGCUGUUCUUUACCGACUGUCAGCGCGGAAUCAGGCUCUAAAGUGUGUUGUGGUGUUAAACUACAGAGUGCUGCAGUGUCAGAGGAGAGGAGGGAGUGACCCGUCUGUCUGCCUGUCUGUCUGCCUGUCUGUCUGCCUGUGUGUGCAGAGAGAAAUGAAUGAUUGUCUACAGGUUAAGAAUUAA